AGUAAGCGGGCCCUUGGAGAGCUGGUGGCGGCUGGCCUUGGCUCGGUGGGUCCGGAGUUUGCGGGGAAGUCGGGACCGCGAUCCCGCGCGGUCCGCGGACUGCCUGAAAGCGCCCCCGCACGGCGGGGAUGGGGGCCGGCCAGCCUUCCAGGGCAGCCCCGGAGGAGCGGGCCCUUCCCGCCCUCGUCCUCCGGCUUCUCCCCUCUCAGCUCCCUGCAGUCCGAGCCGGGGCCGCCCCGUCUUGUCCGGCCUUCGCUCUGAGAACGGUCUUUACACUUGCAGCGGCCUCCAGCCUGGGCAGGAAUGUCUCCCCGGUGUGUGCCCCGGUUUGGGCCUGACGCCGGGGAGCCGGGGAGCCGGGGACGAGUCUCCGGUUUGGAUCGGAACCCGCCCUGGCGGAGCCUCCCACUGGGCCUUGAGGCCCGUCUCCUCUGUGUGCAGGCUGCUGUCCACAUGCUGCCCCGGCUGUUAGACAUUCUCCUGGCCUUUGGCGGAAGACUCACAGAAUGAUGUCCCCUGAGAUGUCUCCUCUGUUUGCUCUGGUGAUGGGGCAAAGUGGCUCAUCUUCCUUAUCUCAAAAAAGCACGGGUCCCUUUGGUUGGUGUUCAGGAGCUGCCUGAGGGUACUCUCACCUGGGAGCGGAGACCUCGAGGCCCCGGGCCCGCUGCCCGGGGGACCCUGGCCUUGCUCCCUGGCCACAGGGCUGCUGGAAGCAACCAAGUCCGCCGAAGUGGCCUCUUGGACACCGACUCGAGCUGUCCUGCUGGCCGCAGCCACCCGCUGGACCGGGCCUCCCCGGAGUCGUGUCUUACAUUUCUUGGACGCGACACCAAAGGGAGCUCCAGUUACCCCUGACCGUCGAUCGCAAACUUUCCAAGACUACGUGAGAGCAAUCUUCAUUUUUUCACAAGCUCUGUUUAACAAGGUAAAUAAACGGCUUCUUUGCCGAU